rnacentral:lncRNA from 1 species
ACGCCCCUCAAUUAUAUCCAUGAUUUUUAAAAAUUUCGUCACAGACCAAUCCAGGAUCCAAACUAACGUUUGAGGACACUGAAAAACAUUCAAUCAAAUUCACAUCCAUAAAACCUGUGUAUUUUAAAAUCAUAUAUCACAUCACUCGAUAAUUCACAUUUAUGGCAACCCAAGCCAACUUGACAAACAUGAACAACAUUUAUAAAUCCACAAGCUAAAUAAAUUAUACAAUCAGAACUCCAACUAUUCAUCACAAGUUCAUAUCGUCAUAAAUUAGACUUAACAUUCCGAAAUUCCAAAUAAGAGAGAUCUUCUAACACUUUUACACAGUAUAUCCAUUUCGGUCAUCAGAACAAUUCAUUACAUACAAAAUAUACUUAUACAACAAUAGCAUAACAACCGACAAGACUCGCCCAUAAUUCUGAAUAGCUAUCCACUGCCUCAGCCCAAAUCAAACAUCUCGAAGGGUGACAAGCUGACCUGAAAGAUUUAUAUAACAACGGAGUGAGCCAAAAACGGCUCAGCAAGUGACAAAGCAUAUUCAGAACAAAAGGAACGGUUUCAAACGAGUAAGGUAUCAUAAUGCAAGGCAGAAUACAAGAAUUCUCAAGGAUACCAUCUCAAUAGAUACCAAAUCAUACGUAUCAUGUCAUUCAAAAUAUAUUUGAUUCAUAACAAAUGGAGCAUAGAGUAAUUGAAGCAUAUCAAUGGCAGAUAGGACAUUUCAGAACAUAUCAGUUCAUAGCAAAUGGAGCACAAAGUAAUUGGAGCAUAUCAACAACAUAUGGAACAUUUCGAAACAUAUCAACAGUGGAUGAAACAUUUCAGAGCAUAUCAAUAACAAAUACCGUACAGAAGCUCAAACGUCGUCUUUAACGUUGCAAACAUAUCAAUCUUAUCCAAAACAUGUACAGAAACACAUAACCAAAGCUCUGGAUAUCAUAUCAAACAUACAGAAGGUGUAGUGGGAUCUCAGUCAGAAUGUGAUUCAUCCAUUUCUGAAUGACCACCUGACAAAAGUCUCCUACGUCUGGGAGCUCCAUCCACCCACGUCUAGGUGAAGUCAAAGGGGGCCGGCAGAGCAUCGCAGGCUCUAAGCAUAUACCCUCAUAGCGGGCAACAAGCGCAUACCCUUUACCAUUUCUGACAAAGGUCCAUAAUAUCCCACAUAACGGGACCCCACAUAGCGGGCAAUAAGCGCAUACCCUUUACCAUUUCUGGCAAAGGUCCAGACAAUCCCACACACCAGAGUACAAGAGGGUAGUUUUAACAAUAAGUAGCAUAUAUCGGAAGCACACGCGGAACAACAAAGCGUACAUGUGCCUUUACGAGUCAAUCCGAAGUAAGCAAUAAUCUUUCACAAGUAUAUUCAGAUUUGAAAGGAAUUGAAAGCAAGGGCACAUAUGGAAUCCAAGCAAUCACAUAUAACUCAAUUCAAUAAGAAGAUUUGAUGAAUUCAAUGUCCAAAGGAAUGAAACUGGAAUAGGCACAUAUCGAAAGCAAAUGUGGAACAAUAGGAUAUACAUGUGCCUAUAUGAGUCAAUACGAUAUAGCAUAAACGUUACACAACAGUUUUCAAGAAUGCAAUAAUUUUAAGGACAAGAGCAUACAAGAAUUCAAAGCAGUAAUAUAAAGCUCAAUUGAAUAAGAAAGCUAAAGGAUAUCAAUUUCCAAAGGAAUGAAACCAGAAUAUGAGAAAUCGACCAAAGCUCGAUUUCUGACAGAAUACAAAAGGCACAUUGAACAAAUGAUUCAAACUAUCAAUCGUGCUCCAAUUUACUCAGAAAUAAUCAUUGGAUUAUACUUUCAGAUAAGACAGGCUUCAUAUGAAUUGAGCUGUCCAACAGAGAGAGUUACAAAUGAUUUGGUAAGCAAGAGUCN